ensembl:rRNA 5S_rRNA 5S ribosomal RNA
GUCUAUGGCCAUACCACCCUGAAUGUAUCUGAUCUUGUCUGAUCUCAGAAGUUAAGCAGGUUUGGACCUGGUUAGUACUUAGAUGGGAGUAGUACACAAGGAUGCUACUAAGU